UACGAAGGGGGCUAGCGUUGCUCGGAAUCACUGGGCGUAAAGGGUGCGUAGGCGGUCCCUUAAGUUUGGUGUGAAAUCUCCCGGCUCAACUGGGAGGGUGCGCCGGAUACUGAGGGGCUAGAGUGCGGGAGAGGAAAGUGGAAUUCCUGGUGUAGUGGUGAAAUGCGUAGAGAUCAGGAAGAACAUCGGUGGCGAAGGCGCUCUGCUGGACCAUAACUGACACUCAGGGACGAAAGCUAGGGGAGCGAAUGGG
rnacentral:rRNA from 1 species